CAGAGUUCUCCCUUCUUCCCACAGACUCCCACCCAUGUCAGCGAGUCAGGAGUUGUCAACGGUUUUGCGGUUGGGUUGCCCUCGGGGUGGCAGCAGCGACAAGGCAAAUGAAAUCCCUUGACCAGGUUACUGCUGUGGGUGUGUGGAAUGAGACUGAGGAUUUCCCUGGGAAACAGGCGGAGGAGUGAGAAGCGAUGGUGGAGCCUGGAAAUGAACGAGGGAAACCUGCACCUGGAGCAGAGGUUGCGAGAGGGCUCUGCCUGCCGGGCCCCCAGCCCAGGGCGGAGGAGCCUGCAGAGUGCCCUGGAGGCUCCCCCUGCCUUGUCACUCCAUGCCUGUGCGUGGGCUCUGAACUGUCAACAAGAAAUUAAUUCAAAU